ACCUUAAUGCAUUUCACAUGACCCAGACAUGCAGCUUUGUGCAAUGCUGUAAAACCCUCCUUGUUCACCGCGUUCACACUGGCACCAUGGUUAAGCAACAGUUGUAAGAUACCAAUAUGACCCCGAGAUGCAGCGUCGUGCAAUGGUGUAUCACCCUCCAUGUUCACCGCGUUCACACUGGCACCAUGGUUAAGCAACAGUUGUAAGAUAUCAACAUGACCCUCACGUGCAGCGUCGUGCAAUGCUGUAAAACCCUCCUUGUUCACCGCGUUCACACUGGCACCAUGGUUAAGCAACAGUUGUAAGAUAUCAACAUGACCCCGAGAUGCAGCGUAGUGCAAUGGUAUAUCACCAUCAUUGUUCACCGCGUUCACACUGGCACCAUGGUUAAGCAACAGUUGUAAGAUAUCAACAUGACCCUCACGUGCAGCGUUGUGCAAUGCUGUAAAACCAUCAUUGUUCACUGCGUUCACACUGGCACCAUGGUUAAGCAACAGUUGUAAGAUAUCAACAUGACGCCGAGAUGCAGCGUAGUGCAAUGGUAUAUCACCAUCAUUGUUCACCGCGUUCACACUGGCACCAUGGUUAAGCAACAGUUGUAAGAAAUCAACAUGACCCUCACGUGCAGCGUCGUGCAAUGCUGUAAAACCCUCCUUGUUCACCGCGUUCACACUGGCACCAUGGUUAAGCAAC
rnacentral:lncRNA from 1 species